rnacentral:misc_RNA from 1 species
GAAAUGCGAUAAGUAAUGUGAAUUGCAGAAUUCAGUGAAUCAUCGAAUCUUUGAACGCACAUUGCGCCCGCCAGUAUUCUGGCGGGCAUGCCUGUCCGAGCGUCAUUUCAACCAUCAAGCCCCCGGGCUUGUGUUGGGGACCUGCGGCUGCCCGCAGGCCCUGAAAACCAGUGGCGGGCUCGCUGUCACACCGAGCGUAGUAGCAAUCACCUCGCUCAGGGCGUGCUGCGGGUUCCGGCCGUUAAACAGCCUUACAAAACCCAAGGUUGACCUCGGAUCAGGGAGGAAGACCCGUUGAACUUAAGC